UGGGGAAUAUUGCACAAUGGGCGCAAGCCUGAUGCAGCCAUGCCGCGUGUGUGAAGAAGGCCUUCGGGUUGUAAAGCACUUUCAGCGAGGAGGAAGGGUAGUGUGUUAAUAGCACAUUGCAUUGACGUUACUCGCAGAAGAAGCACCGGCUAACUCCGUGCCAGCAGCCGCGGUAAUACGGAGGGUGCAAGCGUUAAUCUGAAUUACUGGGCGUAAAGCGCACGCAGGCGGUUUGUUAAGUCAGAUGUGAAAUCCCCGCGCUUAACGUGGGAACUGCAUUUGAAACUGGCAAGCUAGAGUCUUGUAGAGGGGGGUAGAAUUCCAGGUGUAGCGGUGAAAUGCGUAGAGAUCUGGAGGAAUACCGGUGGCGAAGGCGGCCCCCUGGACAAAGACUGACGCUCAGGUGCGAAAGCGUGGGGAGCAAACA
rnacentral:rRNA from 1 species